rnacentral:rRNA from 1 species
AUUGAACGCUAGCGGGAUGCCUUACACAUGCAAGUCGAACGGAGUGGCGAACGGGUGAGUAAUGUAUCGGAACGUGCCCAGUAGCGGGGGAUAACUACGCGAAAGCGUAGCUAAUACCGCAUACUAUUGGAGCGGCCGAUAUCGGAUUAGCUAGUUGGUGGGGUAACGGCUCACAAAGGCGACGCUCCGUAGCUGGUUUGAGAGGACGACCAGCCAAACUGGUACUGAAAAACGGCCCAUAGUCCUACGGGAGGCAGAAGUGGGGAAUUUUGGAAAAUGGGGAAAACCCUGAUCAAGCAAGCCCGCGUGUGCGAUGAAGGCCUUGGGGUUGUAAAGCAAUUUUGGCAGGAAAGCGGUACCUGCAGAAUAAGCACCGGCUAACUACGUGCCAGCAGCCGCGGUAAUAA